rnacentral:rRNA from 1 species
CCUACGGGUGGCAGCAGUGGGGAAUAUUGGACAAUGGGCGAAAGCCUGAUCCAGCCAUGCCGCGUGUGUGAAGAAGGCCUUCGGGUUGUAAAGCACUUUCAGUGGGGAAGAAAGCCUUGGGGCUAAUACCCUCGAGGAAGGACAUCACCCACAGAAGAAGCACCGGCUAACUCCGUGCCAGCAGCCGCGGUAAUACAGAGGGUGCGAGCGUUAAUCGGAAUUACUGGGCGUAAAGCGCGCGUAGGCGGUCUGAUAAGCCGGUUGUGAAAGCCCCGGGCUCAACCUGGGAACGGCAUCCGGAACUGUCAGGCUAGAGUGCAGGAGAGGAAGGUAGAAUUCCCGGUGUAGCGGUGAAAUGCGUAGAGAUCGGGAGGAAUACCAGUGGCGAAGGCGGCCUUCUGGACUGACACUGACGCUGAGGUGCGAAAGCGUGGGUAGCAAACAGGAUUAGAUACCCCGGUAGUC